AGCGUUAAUUGAGGCUCGGUUGGGAAGAGAUGGGCAGCUCUCAAAAAAGGCACAAACAAUUGAAGGAUGGAUACCAUGGCAUAUGUUAAAAGCGUGUUGAAAGGAAAAUAAGAAAGCCAGGAAUCUCAGGAUGAAUCAGUCUAGAUCGAGAUCAGAUGGUGGCAGUGAAGAAACCUUACCUCAAGACCAUAAUCAUCAUGAAAAUGAGAGAAGAUGGCAGCAAGAGCGUCUCCACAGAGAAGAGGCCUAUUAUCAGUUUAUUAAUGAACUCAAUGAUGAAGAUUAUCGGCUUAUGAGAGACCAUAAUCUUUUAGGCACCCCUGAACUGCAACAGCGGUUAGAUGGCGUCAAGGAACAACUAGCAUCUCAGCCUGACUUGAGAGAUGGAACCUAUUACAGAGACUCAGAAGUCCCUAGAGAAAGUUCACAUGAAGAUUCUCUUCUAGAAUGGUUGAACACCUUUCGGCGCACAGGAAAUGCAACUCGAAGUGGACAAAAUGGGAACCAAACUUGGAGAGCUGUGAGUCGAACAAACCCGAACAAUGGAGAGUUUCGGUUUAGUUUGGAAAUCCACGUAAAUCAUGAAAAUAGAGGAUUUGAAAUUCAUGGAGAAGAUUAUACAGACAUUCCACUUUCAGAUAGUAACAGAGAUCAUACUGCAAAUAGGCAACAAAGGUCAACUAGUCCUGUGGCUAGGCGAACAAGAAGCCAAACCUCAGUGAAUUUCAAUGGUAGUAGUUCCAACAUUCCAAGGACUAGGCUUGCUUCAAGGGGGCAAAACCCAGCUGAAGGAUCUUUCUCAACAUUGGGAAGGUUAAGAAAUGGAAUUGGGGGAGCAGCUGGCAUUCCUCGAGC
rnacentral:sRNA from 1 species